rnacentral:rRNA from 1 species
GACGAACGCUGGCGGCGUGCCUAAUACAUGCAAGUAGAACGAGUUGCGAACGGGUGAGUAACGCGUGGUAACCUGCCUCAUAGCGGGGGAUAACUAUUGGAAACGAUAGCUAAUACCGCAUACUGUGAGAUGGACCUGCGGUGUAUUAGCUAGUAGGUGGGGUAACGGCUCACCUAGGCGACGAUCCCUAGCUGGUCUGAGAGGAUGAUCAGCCACACUGGAACGGGGACGCGGUCCAGACUCUUACGGCAGGCAGCAGUGGGGAAGAUUGCACAAUGGGCGCAAGCCUGAUGCAGCCAGGCCGCGGGUAUGAAGAAGGCCUUCGGGUUGUAAAGUACUUUCAGCGAGGAGGCGUUACUCGCAGAAGAAGCACCGGCUAACUCCGUGCCAGCAGCCGCGGUAAUUC